UACGGGGGGGGCAAGCGUUGUUCGGAAUUACUGGGCGUAAAGGGCUCGUAGGUGGCCAACUAAGUCAGACGUGAAAUCCCUCGGCUUAACCGGGGAACUGCGUCUGAUACUGGAUGGCUUGAGUUUGGGAGAGGGAUGCGGAAUUCCAGGUGUAGCGGUGAAAUGCGUAGAUAUCUGGAGGAACACCGGUGGCGAAGGCGGCAUCCUGGGCCAACACUGACACUGAGGAGCGAAAGCCAGGGGAGCAAACGGG
rnacentral:rRNA from 1 species